rnacentral:rRNA from 1 species
GGGUUGUGAGGUUAAGCGACUAAGCGUACACGGUGGAUGCCCUGGCAGUCAGAGGCUGAUUGGAAGGACCGGUGCGUAAUCUGGACGAUAAGCGUCGGUAGGUGAUAUGAACCGUUAAUAACCGGCGAUUUCCGAAUGGGGAACCCAGUGUGUUCGUA